rnacentral:rRNA from 1 species
AGUGAACGCUGGCGGUAUGCCUAACACAUGCAAGUCGAACGGCAGCACAGUAAGAUCUUGCUCUUACGGGUGGCGAGUGGCGGACGGGUGAGGAAUACAUCGGAAUCUACUUUUUCGUGGGGGAUAACGUAGGGAAACUUACGCUAAUACCGCAUACGACCUACGGGUGAAAGCAGGGGAUCUUCGGACCUUUCGCGAUUGAAUGAGCCGAUGUCGGAUUAGCUAGUUUGCGGGGUAAAGGCUCACCAAGGCGACGAUCCGUAGCUGGUCUGAGAGGAUGAUCAGCCACACUGGAACUGAGACACGGUCCAGACUCCUACGGGAGGCAGCAGUGGGGAAUAUUGGACAAUGGGCGCAAGCCUGAUCCAGCCAUACCGCGUGGGUGAAGAAGGCCUUCGGGUUGUAAAGCCCUUUUGUUGGGAAAGAAAAGCAGCAGGUUAAUACCCCGCUGUUCUGACGGUACCCAAAGAAUAAGCACCGGCUAACUUCGUG